rnacentral:misc_RNA from 1 species
GAUGAAGAACGCAGCGAAAUGCGAUAAGUAAUGUGAAUUGCAGAAUUCAGUGAAUCAUCGAAUCUUUGAACGCACAUUGCGCCCCUUGGUAUUCCGAGGGGCAUGCCUGUUCGAGCGUCAUUAUAACCCCUCAAGCUCAGCUUGGUGUUGGGGCCUGCCGCACGGGCAGCCCUUAAAAUCAGUGGCGGUGCCAUCUGGCUCUAAGCGUAGUAAUUCUUCUCGCUAUAGAGUUCCGGUGGAUGCUUGCCAUUAACCCCAAUUUUCUAUGGUUGACCUCGGAUCAGGUAGGGAUACCCGCUGAACUUAAGCAUAUCAAAAGCGGAGGA